UACGGGGGGGCAAGCGUUGUUCGGAAUUACUGGGCGUAAAGGGCUCGUAGGCGGCCAACUAAGUCAUACGUGAAAUCCCUCGGCUUAACCGGGGAACUGCGUCCGAUACUGGAUGGCUUGAGUUUGGGAGAGGGAUGCGGAAUUCCAGGUGUAGCGGUGAAAUGCGUAGAUAUCUGGAGGAACACCGGUGGCGAAGGCGGCAUCCUGGACCAACACUGACGCUGAGGAGCGAAAGCCAGGGGAGCAAACGG
rnacentral:rRNA from 1 species